rnacentral:rRNA from 1 species
AUUGAACGCUGGCGGCAUGCCUUACACAUGCAAGUCGAACGGUAACAGGUUAAGCUGACGAGUGGCGAACGGGUGAGUAAUACAUCGGAACGUGCCCAGACGUGGGGGAUAGCUCGGCGAAAGCCGGAUUAAUACCGCAUAAGCUCUGAGGAGGAAAGCGGGGGACCGUAAGGCCUCGCGCGUUUGGAGCGGCCGAUGGCAGAUUAGGUAGUUGGUGGGGUAAAGGCUUACCAAGGCGACGAUCCGUAGCUGGUCUGAGAGGAUGACCAGCCACACUGGGACUGAGACACGGCCCAGACUCCUACGGGAGGCAGCAGUGGGGAAUUUUGGACAAUGGGCGCAAGCCUGAUCCAGCAAUGCCGCGUGCAGGAAGAAGGCCUUCGGGUUGUAAACUGCUUUUGUACGGAGCGAAAAGGCUCCCUCUAAUACAGGGGGCUCAUGACGGUACCGUAAGAAUAAGCACCGGCUAACUCCGUGCCAGCAGCCGCCGUAACAC